GUGCAGCAGCCGCGGUAAUACCGGCAGCCCGAGUGAUGGCCGAUCUUAUUGGGCCUAAAGCGUCCGUAGCUGGGUCUGAAAGUCCAUCGGGAAAUCCACUCGCUCAACGAGUGGCCGUCCGGUGGAAACUCCACACCUUGGGACCGGAAGGCUCGAAGGGUACGGCCGGGGUAGGAGUGAAAUCCUGUAAUCCCGUCCGGACCACCGAUGGCGAAAGCACUUCGAGAAAACGGAUCCGACAGUGAGGGACGAAAGCUAAGAUCGCGAACCGGAUUAGAAACCCCUGUAGUCC
rnacentral:rRNA from 1 species